GGGGGGAGAUCUACUAUUAGAGAGGAGAGAAUACAACUAGGUUUACAACUCUCACAAUUUAAACCCUCAAAUAAACUCUCCAAUCUCUCACAAAAGACACUCUCAAAAGGAUGCACACAACCCAAACAAUAAGCCUCUGCCUUUUUCUUUGCACAGCCGCAGUGAAUUCUUUUCCCAGCCCUAGCACACGAAAACUCCUUUUCACCGCCUCUGCACACGCGCCCAACAAUUGCACACACGCAGCCGCCAAAGAAAAUAACUGCCCACCCUCCUUCGCUACCUUUCUCCAAAGCCCUAGGUUACAUUUUAUAGCAACUGGAACGGGUCAUGUCAAGGUUCGGGUGGGCCUGGCCUCUUUUGUCCGCUGGGCAAGGACGCGGUUUCUUCUCUUCACGUGGGUGACUCUUUCACGCGGUUUUCAAGCCUCAGCUCGUGGUCCCCACUCACGUUACAUCCACAAUUUCAAGUGCUGGAAUGACUCUUAGCCUUCUUGUUGUUGCCAUUGCAUUUUAUUUGAAGGGAGCAAUAUCAGAUGAUUCUAGGUUCUAUUUUUUACUGAGUAUCAUCUCAUUGGCUGGACUUGUGGCUUAUGUCAUUUUUCUCUCUCUUGGGAUUGGAGCCAUCCCAUGGAUCAUAAUGUCUGAGGUAUGUGAAA